UCUAGCUGAAAUUAGAAAUAAUCUUUAAGAUGAACCACAAGGCAGACAUGAGCAGCAGACUGCCCCAAAAAUAAUCAUCAUUACCACAUGUAGGUGUCUAUUGUUUAAGGCAUAAUCCAAGCUGCCUGGCAAAGGCGGAUAUGGAACAGGGCGGGGCAGUAGUAAGAUGGAAGAGGAGGGGCUGGGACGGUGAUUGUACUUCAAACAUAGACGCGGUAAUCACCAGCGUAGAAAAAGCAGACGGUAAUUAUUACCCAGCUGCGAGUGCACCUCCACAACAACACAUGUACUUUGCCAAAUCAAUCAGUCGCACGUCCACAACGACAUAUGUACCUUGAUGAAUCAAUCAGUGCUACAUUAAUGGUCAGCGGGAGACAUUUACCAAUUCUCAGAUCCGAUGUUUAUCAUGGACUGGAGGUAAUUGUGGGAGAGACAGAGAGGCUGUUUUCGGUGCCAGAGCUAGCUUAACACAGCUCCCAUACCACCGAUCACACCACCAGUACGCUAAGAAGUUGCAUCUUUGUAAAAGACACAGUUCUUACCCAACUGUUUUGAUAUUCUUGCUUCAUGCCAACAGUGUGUGUUGUCAGGCAGGGUGUGUUGCUUUUAUUUCCUUUUACCGGCUGCAGGUAAAAAUGGAAGCCAUCAAGGCGUUGUGAACCAAUUAUUUGAUAGUGGGCAAGUUCAGCUCACCUCCAUGACACAACCAUCUUCGGACAAUCGAGAAAACUCAUGUGACUCUGAAGGGAGAACAUAUCCCAUCCUCACAUCCCUACUCAUACCCACCAAUGCGUUCUAGUUAAAUUAAUUUAGAGUCAUAUGUCCAAUCUUUGUCACUCAAAACUUCACACUGUAAAUUGAAACACUCCAUUCAAUCCCAACUUGAAAUCUUUUCUUUUGUCCAAUCACGAGUGUCCUUUGCCUAAUACCCAUAGCAAAUAAAAAUUGUGAUUCUAUUAAUUCAAGUGUUUGUGCAACAUCUUAUGCAUGAUCAUGUGACAUUGUCAAGAUCGGUUUCAGAUGGCUGUGACAGACAGGAUAAUGGAGGAUCAUGCAAAGCUAAUAAUUGGAGUUACCUCCCCUUCAGGGGUCUUUCAUAUGGGUGACACAAGUCAAACAAUACAAUGCUUCAUGUAAUUUGUUUCCUUCAAAUCUGACAGGAUUUUUUUCCAGCUGGUGAACCUAAUCACACUGCACAAAACCCCUGAGCGAUUCUUGCUUAGCGAGGUGUAAACACUGGACAGAUUAGCCCGGUCCCACAGAUAAAUCAAACCUACAAACAUGAUUUGGUUGCAUGCUUGGUAUUAUAAAUCAGGCUGUGCUGGAGUCAGACAGGCAAAGAUCUCAGCAUGCCUCAGCCAGGGGAGACAUGAUAGGGUGACAAUAUAAACUAAACGUGACUGGUGAAGCCAACACAGGCACUUAGAGAUGAUCCAGGCACUGCAUUUACUUCAGGGAAUGUAAUACACGGCCAUUGUGUGGCUGGCUCACACAGGAAAACACGCUUUUAUCUCACGAGGAAUAGGCUUGUCUCUAUCAAAAGGGAAAUGCACACUUGUAUCUAGCUAGGAGGGAAUACAAACUCGUAUCUGCCAGGAGAGCGUUGGCUAGUGACUGAGGUAUAACACUGUAUAUACAUCCAUCUAGGUGAGUGUACACACAUCCAUCUUGUGUUGCAGACACUAACUGGUGAGGCCUUGUAAUGUGAUCACAAUCUGCCCAAUGGAGUAAUUAUACAGACUUGAAGACCACUAAUGGAAUAUAAGGCCCCAUCUAUGAUGAAGUGGUACACCAUUACAUGGCUGCUGUGUGGUAAGUAUAGACAGACUUGUUUGAUUGUCACGUUAACAUUGUGUAACAUUAGUAUAUACAACAGCUGGAAGAGCAUUAUUAGCCAUAAUUACCUUGUGACAUCUACUCAAUUUGUAGAGCAAUUCUGCCCUUGAUAAAAUAAUGGGUGUAAUCUACUCCCCUUCCUUUCAUGUACAACUGCUGACAGACGAGCGUACCGGCCACAUUUCCUAACAUCAUUUUACAUUUGUGAUAAUAGAGUUUUUGCAAUGCAAUUUCCCGGGAAUAUUUACUGAGUAAACUGUUUUCUAUUUGCUAUGCAGUAAUGACAGACUAACCUCACCACGACCCCAGUAUGUGGCACAAAAAGCUUUCAAUUGCCACUCUUUGUUACUGGGCAUAUGGAUAUCAUAACUAUUCCACAUAUUGCCUUCUCUAGCUAAGUAAUAUAUCCCGUUUAACCAGUGACCAACAAUCAUGGCAUUUCCUCCCUUAGUUUCAAUACACUAGUGGAUCAUCAGGAGGGUGAUUCAUCAUCCCAGUGUUUCUGUAAUUAUAUCAUUACCCUGUCAUCUGUAGCCUGACACAGAAUGGAAAACAAGGCUACAUGGCACUUCUGGCUACCACCAAACAGUAUAGCCGACAUAUGCCAAAGAAUAAUAUUGAUAUUAAUCAGUUUCCAUUUACCACUUAACUGGGCAUGCCUGGCAGCUAAACAACUCUCGACACUAGGGGCUAAAGAACGAAAAAAAAAUGGAAACGAGUUAACAGACAUAGGCCUGAUGCGUUCAAUUUAUUUCCCUGUACACCGUUGGACAGAAUCAGCCUGGAUACACGGCCAUCUGAUUGGGUCAGAGAAUAUAAGGUGGGAUAUCCAGAUUACGACAGGUGCUAAAUAUGGCCGUCAUGAUAUGGAGCGUGGGGUGCUGCACUUGCCACUGCCUGGCAAGACGGAUGUAUUUCUCAAUCACUUGUGUGUGCGAGAGCUACUAAGACAUUGGGUGAUACACACGCCAGAACCUGGACAGAGAUGUGUUUGUUUGAUCCUCUGUGUGUGUGAGGAGCUUUCUUAAGGCACAAUCAGCAGCAGAUCAAAGGCAAAUCAAGUUAUCCCACAGGACUAGGAAAAGGCAGGGUGCUUCACCACAAACAGUGGAAUUGUCAUCAGUUGAUAAAAUUACAUGGCAUGAUAUGGGCUGCAGACACGCUGACAUGUGGGAGUGGUAAACCCAUCAUCCUGGACAUUCAACGGGAGUCAGUUGAGUGUAGUGGAGUCGGGGGGAUGUGGAGGGUACUGGCGUCUGGGAGGUGUGGAGUGUACUUGGGGAUGUGCAGUGUACCGGGGGAGGCUGGUGUGGCCGUCACUUGGGGGACAGUCGAUACCUGUUUCGAGUGAAGUGAAGGUGGAAUUGGUGAUGACCAAGACGUGAACAUGGAUUACUUGUUUCAAAGGAAAAAAAGUAUCCGAGUAUGGAGAUUUACAAGCAUCACAAGGAUUGCACCAUGUGUCCAUGUGUCCAUGUGUCAGUGAUGGUGAUUUGGUGAUUUUCCUUUAUCAGCUAUGGACUCAGCCAUGUGUAGCAAUGAUGGAUAUAUACCAGUAUUGGAUAUUGAGCAAAGAGAACCCACUGCUGUGCAAGAAACCAUCUUCCUUUUAAGAUAACUACUGCACUGUCAAGAUGUCUCAGCCUACAACAAAUUGCUCUACAAUUUUAUGGUUCAACUGGGCCAGGUAAUGUGAACAGAAGUACAUCACUAACAGGAACCUGGUUUCAAAGGGUUCAGGGUCUGCUGGAAAUGGAUUUCAAUCAGUGUUCACUGGUGCCGAGAUCUGGAAAACUGUUCAGCUGAUGUAAGAAUGAAGUGCAGCGAUUCCACAGCCUGCAAUCAGCAUCAGAUAAACUUGCACGUCAAUCAGGGUGGAGGAACAAACUGUGAUGAACCGAUAACAACCAUCUCCCCAGUGCAGUAUGGGCACGUCGUGGGAUAGCCUUGAUGCAAGAGCUGUUGCAGCGCCCAGCUUACACAAUUCAGGUGAUCAAGGGGCGAACUACACUGUGAUGAGGUGACGGUUAUGUGCAGGUGACGGGUAUGUGCACUUCAGGGGAUAGCAUCGGUGAAAGAGCUGUUGCAGCUCCCAGCUUAGACAGUUCAGGUGAACUAGUGAUCUCAUUGUCAUGUCAAUGGAUAAGGAUGGAGAUCUCAAAAAUAGAAGGAUGCAAUCUCUAUGAAUAAGGAUGCGAUCUCGAUGUGUACGGAUGCGAUCUCGAUGAUAAGGAUGGGGAUCUCGCUGGAUUAGGAUGUGAUCUCGAUGGAUAAGGAUGUGAUCUCAAUGGAUAGGGAUGUGACCUCAAUGGAUAGGGAUGGGGAUCUCGAUGGAUAGGCAAGUGAAUGCAGGGAAUAACCAUCAGUGCCUAGGUGACAGAACAGCUUCAGCUCCAAGACUUCAUGGCAAUGUUUUCUCAUUAUGGGGGACGUGUUUGUGUUGUGUGCCCUGUGAUGGAGGAUAAUGGAUUACACAAGCCUCCCGCUGCUGCCGCUGUCAGAUUUCCAAGGGAGGUAACUUCUUACUCAAUAGGAAACUUCCUACAAGACAAUCUAGAAGCAGAGAGAAAACUAAAACUGAAUGACACACAGACAGGCGAUCCCCGACAAGACCGGUGCCACACUAGCGGGAGGGGCUGAUGUCUUGCCACCGAUCAAGCGAGUCUCGUCCCACCAACGAAGGCCAACAGCAGCGAGUGGCAGUGACAAAGUAAGUGUACGUUGCUAUGUGUGACUGACUGAGGCCAGGUUGGUAGGUAGGUAGGUAGGUAGGUAGGUAGGGUACUCACUUGGUUUUGUCCCAGCAUGGGAUUGUGAGGAGGCUGUGAAUGGGGGGACGGCUGGGACGCGGGAGGCUGUCAACGUGAAAGAGGCCGAUGGCCAGUGGGAGACAUUGUCAGCAAUGUGCAAAUAAUCCGGUGUAGUUCCACACGCAAGUCAGCAUGUGAAUUUUCAACUUGCUACCUCACAAUUGUAAUAUUCAUUCAAAGAAUUUUCCAACUUAAUACCCAACUACCAAAACUAUUUGAAAAGGCUGGAAGAGGAACUGAAUCCGCUGUGAGGGAAUACCUGGCGGGGAAGCAUGCACGCGGUGAUGCUGACGCUGUGCUCAUGCAGUUCUUUACGACGUGGACCCCACGCUCUAUCACUUCACAGACGAACAACUCUUACAAUCACAACAAAACCUGGAUCUACAACAACUGCCGUUCGCUAAUGAACUCACAAUCCUAACACUGAGUGACUGCAGGGAACAAGCAUUCAAGUGCUAGAUUGAACACAAUAGUUUACAUAUCCAUCUGCCCUAGACUUCAAUAAUUUUGUUUAUUAUUUAUUCCUAGAUUAAACUAAUAUCUUCCUCACUCAUUCCUAGAUAUAAUCAUAUAUCUCUAUCCACUAUUCAAAUAAUUAACACAUGUAUAUUACAUCACACUCAAUCUACUGAUUAACCAUAGAGUGAGUGAGUGAGUAUGGUUUUACGCCACUUUUAGCAAUAUUCCAGCAAUAUCACGGCGGGGGACACCAGAAAUGGGCUUCACACAUUGUACCCAUGUCGGGAAUCGAACCCGGGUCUUCGGCGUGACGAGCGAACGCUUUAACCACUAGGCUACCCGACCGCCCCGAUUAACCAUAGAGAAACACACAUUACAGAUUGUUCCUUGUCAAGAUCUGAUCUUGUUAUUACUGAAUGUGCCUCCUCCCUUGUAGGUAAGAUACCCCAUGCUACGAAACCCUAUUCAGUACAGCGUCUUGGAUGCCUGAAACAUCGCAAUCUAUGAACUACUCAACUAGAGAGAGGUAUAAGUAGAUAAAAUAGAAUGAUAAACUUUGAUCUAUAAAUGUAUCACACUGACUAGCCUAAUUGUUACAGAAGGGUAUACCCAAAGGAAGUCUUGUGAUAAGUUUGUCUGUGAUUUACUUACAGGAAAAAAACUAGGUGGCAUGGGACCGCCAGGCAUGCCAUCUUGUGGGGGCAUCUGACUGAGCGGACUGGGCGCUGCAUUCUGGAACAAAAACAUGCACCAUUAGCAGAGUCACUCACAAUCAGCAGAAAAUACAUUCAGAAACAUAAUUUAUGUAUUAGUAAGAAUAUGAAUUGCAUGUUGUUUUAUGCCAGUCAGCAAUAUUCCACAAGAUGGUGGACUGCUAAUCAAGUCUGGAGCCAUCAAAGCAGGGCAGUCAUACUGCCAUCACUGUCGUAAGUCUACGAGUUACGACUGUCUUAGGGUUGCGAUCACUUUGUGAAAUGGGACCCUGAGGUUAUGUCCUAAUCCUGGUUACAGGUAGUAAGUGUUUCAUAAUAGGUUCAAAACACAAACUUCGGUACUAGGGACCCAUUUUGACCCAGCAUAGUCAAAGAGUGUCUAUACUAUGAAGUAAUUGAUAUUUAUUAAUACAGAUCCCAGAUAAUCAAAAAUAUAAAGAGGUAUCAGAUAUUCAGAAAUUGCUGAUGAAAAUAGUGAGAAUGGAGCUAGCUCGAAAAGAAAGAAAAACCUUCCUAGUGGCAGUGGUUGAUCGUGUGAAGAUUAUGACAUUAAAUGUUCCUAUCAUCAACAUAAUUAUCAUUAUCAUAAUUAUUACUGUGACAGUGAUAAUUAGUGUCAUUGUUAUUAGCAUUGUUAUAACCCACAAGUGGUGUUGAGAAAUCUUCCAUGAAUUGUUAUCAGAGGCAAGUCGUGCUUGGGAGAAUAGCACAACGUGCUGGUAAACACCAGCUUGUAGCUAGAGGUUGGCAACACGUUAAUGUAUUUUGUAUUCUGAACUUGUUAACAGGUCAAAGCAUGCAUUAUUUGCCAUGACUUUUCCAGAUAAACUUUGUGAGUGGUCAUGGAUGUUAGUGCACUCAUUUGGAAACUUAGUCGUAAAAGUUCAAGACAUGUUCAAAAAUAUUCAGAUGAAUACAACAUGUUUAGUUUGUUAAUCUUCGGUCUUGUGUUUCUUGACUAAUAUAGAAGUAUUUGAUAUUCAGCAAAUACAAUAUCAUUUCACUGUAUCAAUUCCUGAGGAAUAUGUUUGCAUAAAGAAUCAUACCAUAACUUUCAGUUAUAACUCACUGAGGCAUGAUCUUUCUCCCUUUUUUACAGAUUUGUGUGAAAAAUCCAGGUAUUUUUGAGGGGAGGAGAGGGAGUGAGAAGAGAAGAAAAAGUUCAGAUUUAUUUUUGUUGUUGCCAAGUGAUCAUAAGAGCCAUGCCGUUUAACAUAUUGUAUGUGUAAUUAUGUCUUGAACACAUGAAAGUUUGCAUUACAUAUUAUUUUCACAUCUUCAUGUCCAAAAUCUAUCUUAACACAAACAGAAUCAGUAAACCAAUUACCAAUAGAGUCCUAUUUUAAUCAAUUUUUUUUUUUUUUUUAUCUAAUUAAUUCCCAUUUUAGUUAAUUUGUGAAAAGGUUUUGAACUUUCUAUUUAAUGAAAAACAUGUAAAUCAAGCAGUGUUGUUAAGCAAAUAAAGAGAAGUCUUCUUUUAAUAAAUUGUUAGGCGUUUGCAUCGGUUUGGCAGAUCGCACCUCGAGAAAUUCAGAAAAUGAUGUUCUACAAGUAAUGGAUGUACCACAUGCAUGCAGAAAGUCAUCAAAGGUAAACAAUGAAAGCUGAACCUAUUGUGUAGAAGUUAAAUCUUGCCUUGCUGAUCAAUAGAAUAAACUUGAGGUUUAUUUUGAACAAUAAAAUGAAUCUACUG